rnacentral:rRNA from 1 species
GAUGAACGCUGGCGGCGUGCCUAAUACAUGCAAGUCGAGCGAACAGACGAGGAGCUUUCUUCUCUGACGUUAGCGUCGCACGGGUGUGUAACACGUGGAUAACCUACCUAUAAGACUGGGAUUACCUCCGGAAACCGGAGCUAAUACCGGAUAAACUAUUGAACCCCAUGGUUCACGAGUGAAAGACGGCUUUGCUUUCACUUAUAGAUGUAUCCGCACCGCAUUAGCUAGGUGGUAAGGUAACGGCUUACCAAGGCAACGAUUCGUAGCCGACCUGAGAGGGUGAUCGGCCACACUGGAACUGAGACACGGUCCAGACCCCUACGGGAGGAAGCAGGAGGGAAGAUUACGCAAUGGGCGAAAGCCGGACGGAGCAAGGCCGCGUGUGUGAUGAAGGUCUUCGGAUCGUAAAACUCUGUUAUCAGGGAGGAACAAAAGAGUAAGAAGCAAUGCGCGUCUUGACGGUACCUGAUCAAGAAGCAACGGCUAACUACGUG